UACGUAGGGGGCUAGCGUUGUCCGGAAUCAUUGGGCGUAAAGAGCGUGUAGGCGGUCCGGUAAGUCCGCUGUGAAAGUCGGGGGCUCAACCCUCGAAUGCCGGUGGAUACUGUCGGGCUAGAGUGCGGAAGAGGCGAGUGGAAUUCCUGGUGUAGCGGUGAAAUGCGCAGAUAUCAGGAGGAACACCUAUUGCGAAGGCAGCUCGCUUGGGACGUAACUGACGCUGAGACGCGAAAGCGUGGGGAGCAAACAGG
rnacentral:rRNA from 1 species